GCCCCGGUAGCCCAAUCGGCAGAGGCCAUGAGCUCAAACCUCAUCCAGUGUCGGUUCGAAUCCGACCCGGGGCACCA
rnacentral:tRNA from 1 species